rnacentral:rRNA from 1 species
GAUGAACGCUGGCGGCGUGCCUAAUACAUGCAAGUCGAGCGAACAGAUGAGGAGCUUGCUCCUCUGACGUUAGCGGCGGACGGGUGAGUAACACGUGGAUAACCUACCUAUAAGACUGGGAUAACUUCGGGAAACCGGAGCUAAUACCGGAUAAUAUAUUGAACCGCAUGGUUCAAUAGUGAAAGACGGUUUUGCUGUCACUUAUAGAUGGAUCCGCGCCGCAUUAGCUAGUUGGUAAGGUAACGGCUUACCAAGGCAACGAUGCGUAGCCGACCUGGGAGGGUGAUCUGCCACACUGGAACUGAGACACGGUCCAGACUCCUACGGGAGGCAGCAGUAGGGAAUCUUCCGCAAUGGGCGAAAGCCUGACGGAGCAACGCCGCGUGAGUGAUGAAGGUCUUCGGAUCGUAAAACUCUGUUAUUAGGGAAGAACAAAUGUGUAAGUAACUAUGCACGUCUUGACGGUACCUAAUCAGAAAGCCACGGCUAACUACGUG